UCCAGCCCGGCCGUGCCUCAGCCGGGGCUGAGGGGGAAGGUCGCUGAGGGGGGCAGGCACCCCGGAGCUGGAGCCCAUACGCGGGUGGCUGUGGGGACAGGAGAACGAAAGACUUUGGCAAGAAGCUCACCGCCGGGGCCGGCACCCAGCUUUUCUCUCUUCGCCCCAGCGAGCACAAAAUACCUGGAGUUCCCCCAGACCUCCCGUUCUAGCCAGAACCCUGCGCCAGCUGCUCACAGGGCCAUCAGCCACCUGUCCUUUAUUCCUUUUAUACAAAAGCAAAGGGACAGGGAGGUGGUCAAGCAGUGAUAGGGCAAAGCCAGAGGAAAUCCUCAGGUCUCAGGGCUCCUCACCCUGCCCUGACUCCCAGUCUGUAGCGGCAGGAUGCUCAGGAACACACAGGUGCCCAGGUUCCCUCAGCCAUCCCCAGGCAUGUACCUGGGCCUUCCCUGCCCUGAGACAGCCGAGGAUUGAGAGUGUUCCAUGCCCUGGUGGGAUUGCAGAGGUAGCAGCGCCUAAAAAGAAUGGGAGCUCGGUUCUGUAAUCUGCCAUCUGCAAAACUAUGAUUGGAAAGGAGCGGUACAGAUUAUGCAAGUUUAUGGUAAAGUAUAGUUUAGCUUUCUCCCACCGAUACAUCUGUUAAUUUGUCAUACCAAAGGUUAAUCCUUUGAUGGAUCCCUAAAUGAUCCCCUGGGAAAGACUUGGGACACAAGAAAGCACAAUCAUCUUUAAAACAAACAAAAUUAUAGAUUUACUGUAAACUGCCCAGCAAAUGGUCAAAUGGAGUACAGAUGUUAAAUAAAUCAGGGGAAACAAAGGAAAACAUCAAAAAUCACAAACAAGGCUCUUCUUCCAUUAUCCUAAAAUGCUUUAGAAAACAGCAGAAGAGCUGACCACAUAAUUGUGAAUCCAAAUGAGCGUUGGUUUGUCAUGACAAAUUAUUGAUUUCCUUCCUCUGGAUAAAAGAAAUCCCUAUUCAAACAGAAAGGAAAUGGCAACUUGAAGCCUAAUCCAAAGCCCGGUUACAUCAACAGAAGUGUUGUAAAUGAAUGACUGAUGUUGAAAAAACAUCAAACAUGAGGGAAAGGUAAAACACGAGAAAUGGCACAGUAGAGAAAGAAAACAGCUUUGAAGUCUCAUUAAGAGAUAAGUAUUAAUGUUGGUAGAAUUCAGCUUUUAGAUGCUUGUUCUGAGAUAGUUAUUAAAAACAGCUCUAUAUAUUAUUACUUUAAACCAAGUUGUUUGUUUUCACCAAUAGUCAGCAACAACUCUCCUUACAGUAUCUUUCCAGUAUUAAAGCAUUUCCAGGUAACUUGGGGCCUGUGAGCUGCUGGGUCAGAAACACCCACUGGUGACUGCUUGGCAGCCAGUGGAGGUCCUACUGGUUCCCAUCCACAGCUGUUCCUUGGUAUCAGAAACAAAAGGAAUAUAAAAAAAGGGGAACAUCAAUAACAAAGACAGUGGAGCAGCCCUCCUGGCUCCCUCUAACCAGCAAGGCAAGAUCCUGCACACAUUCAGAACUGAGGACCAUAACAGGUCUGGGUGAGGGGUGUGACUAAAUAAUUCGGUGUGCAUGUUCUGACAGCCCCAGCUGCCACCUGUCAGUGCUGCUCUGCAAGCUGCUGCCAUUGAAGGGACAUUGCCAGCAAGGGAACAGCCACUGUCCAUAGCUUGUAAUCCUUGCAAUGACAAGCUGUGAUGGCUUUCUCUAUGUGAUGUUAAAAAUAAUAAAAAAUUUAAAAUGGAUUAGUUUAGGAAAGACUGGUUUAAGAAGUACAGUCUAAACACCAAGAGAAGAAAACAUCAAAAGAAGCAUGUUUAAAGGAAAAUAGUCAUUGUGUUGAUGACUACAGAAGUUUAAGACUAGACAGUACCACUGGGACUUCUAACCUAGUACUUUAUGUUAAGUGUAGGGCUUAUUGGCAUUAAUUCUUGCAUCUGGUCCGUAGUCCUUUUUUUUUCUUUUUUCCUUAGCAUACAAACAUUGAAUUAACAGUCAAGACUGAUCUAUUACAGCCACUGGGGAAAUGUUUCAAUGACUGCUUACAGUCAUUUGUAAAAAGUUAUAUCUCUGCCUCCCUUUAAAAUGCUGAUUAGUCCUACAUUGACUUCUAGUUUUUGCUCUUAUUAUGAAUUUUUUCAUGGAACUGCUGAACUAUUAUUUUCUCCAGAUGAGUUUUGAGAUUGUGAUGAUAAAGACAUACAGUUAGCACACCCUUGAAUGUCUUCUUGUAAGGCAUAUUUCCCAUCCCUUCAACCAUUCCCAUAAAUAUUUUUAUUCCUUGAAUUGCGAACUGUAGCUGC